CUUCACCGAACCGAGGAGCAGCGGACGCUCCGGGUCGCGGUCCCGGCCGUACGUGGCCAGCAGCGCCUGCGCCUC
rnacentral:antisense_RNA from 1 species